UCCAAGAUUCAAGAUCCAACCAUCUAGCUCUCCAUCUCCAUCUCCACUCACGGUGGUUAAAUUGCGCGCUUGCUCAAAGCGCGUCACCAUGGUAUGAGUAGAAGUCACACCACGGCAUAUUUAUGUCGACAGCCUGUCGGCAGAUCUGCCCGUCCAUCAGACCACGGAGUCAGCUGCAAACCGUAGACUCAAUGAUCGGUAUACGACUGUUGAAAACCGUCGUCUGAUAGCGUUUCAUCAGACGACGCCUCGACAGACCACGGAAAUGCAAAACAUGAGACGACAGUUUUAAACCGUUGUGUGAAGCCUUUUGUGUAGUAGUGAUAAUUGAUCAAACUGACUCCAUUAUCGUGCUACUAAAUAUAUCAGCUAAAUGCCAUGCUUUGCAAGGAUGCUGAUGGAUCAAACAAGUUUCAUUUUUGUUGUUUAAACAAAGUGGAUGAAAAUAGACAUGAAAGGGAUGAGACAUGUAUAUUCCUAGAGAACAAAGGAAGGGGCUGGACCUCUGCCCUAAAUCUCAGGGUCCACAAAAUCAGCACAAUAAAUCAUAGAGGGAAAGACUUGGCCAUCCAAACCCGGGGACCAAUAUUUAUGUUGCUGAGAACUCAGUCAUAGUGAUCUUCACCCAAAAAAUCCAAAGCUUGUUUAAACCCUCCCCUACAGUUCACUGUUCACAUGGUUUUGAUGGCUCAGCUUGCUCUUGAUGCAUUCAUGGUAUGCCGCUAUCUUGCCCUAGUAAUUCUAGCAAAAGUGGUCCAGUGGCACCCAUUAAGGAGAUGGUCCAUUUCUUAAAGACAGAAGUAACAAUCUCUGUAAAAACAACAUAAAAUUUGAUAUUUGAAGUAUGAGAAGAUUUUGCCCCAGAGCUAACCGGCUUUCUCAA